rnacentral:lncRNA from 1 species
UGAUAUUCUGGAUAACCCUUGGUUAAUUUUAGAGUUGUUUUGUGAAGAAUGAAGCUACAAGUCAAGAUGCAAGUUUAGAAGAUGCACACGACCAUUAUUAUUUUUCUAGGAAAGUUGUGCAAAACAAGAAAUCAUAGUCUAGCUCGGGAUAUUGUUAAUUUGCUAAAAAAAAAUUGUUAAUUAAAUGUUGAAACAAACACCAUGCGAUGUUUACCUAUUUUUAUAUUUAUAUCAGCC